rnacentral:rRNA from 1 species
GACGAACGCUGGCGGCGUGCCUAAUACAUGCAAGUAGAACGCACAGUUUAUACCGUAGCUUGCUACACCAUAGACUGUGAGUUGCGAACGGGUGAGUAACGCGUAGGUAACCUGCCUGGUAGCGGGGGAUAACUAUUGGAAACGAUAGCUAAUACCGCAUAAUAUUGAUUAUUGCAUGAUAAUUGAUUGAAAGAUGCUAUUGCAUCACUACCAGAUGGACCUGCGUUGUAUUAGCUAGUAGGUGAGGUAACGGCUCACCUAGGCGACGAUACAUAGCCGACCUGAGAGGGUGCUCGGCCACACUGGGACUGAGACACGGCCCAGACUCCUACGGGAGGCAGCAGUAGGGAAUCUUCGGCAAUGGACGAAAGUCUGACCGAGCAACGCCGCGUGAGUGAAGAAGGUUUUCGGAUCGUAAAGCUCUGUUGUAAGAGAAGAACGGGUGUGAGAGUGGAAAGUUCACACUGUGACGGUAUCUUACCAGAAAGGGACGGCUAACUACGUG